rnacentral:rRNA from 1 species
UGAGUUUGAUCAUGGCUCAAAUUGAACGCUGGCGGCAGGCUUAACACAUGCAAGUCGAGCGGGGGAAGGUAGCUUGCUACCGGACCUAGCGGCGGACGGGUGAGUAAUGCUUAGGAAUCUGCCUAUUAGUGGGGGACAACAUCUCGAAAGGGAUGCUAAUACCGCAUACGUCCUACGGGAGAAAGCAGGGGAUCUUCGGACCUUGCGCUAAUAGAUGAGCCUAAGUCGGAUUAGCUAGUUGGUGGGGUAAAGGCCUACCAAGGCGACGAUCUGUAGCGGGUCUGAGAGGAUGAUCCGCCACACUGGGACUGAGACACGGCCCAGACUCCUACGGGAGGCAGCAGUGGGGAAUAUUGGACAAUGGGGGGAACCCUGAUCCAGCCAUGCCGCGUGUGUGAAGAAGGCCUUAUGGUUGUAAAG